UGAGAGAGGUGGUUGAUUGGCCCCAGCCUACUUCCGAGGUGCAGCUACAACAUUUCCUGGGGUUCGCCAACUUCUAUCCCUGCUUUAUCCGGGGUUACAGCACCCUGGAUUUCCCCCUGUCAGCACUCACCUCGCUCAAGGUUCCGUUCACGUGGUCUCCAGCUGCUGACUGGGCGUUUCGGGCCCUCAAACAUCGCUUCACCACAGCUCCCAUCUUGGUUCGUCCUGACCCAUCCCGUCAGUUUGUUGUGGAGGCUGAUGCUUCUGAUGUCGGAGUGGGGGCUGUACUGUCCCAGC
ensembl:lncRNA